GAAAAUCGGAGCAGCUGGGAGGAAUUAAUAAAGCUGCUUGCUAUUGAAGGAGCUGAUACAUGCACACAUUGACGGCAACUUUAGGGAGUAAAAAAAGGAGGCAGAAUUUGAAGGCGCAUACACGACAAAAGACGGAUGAUUCAUUCUUGUAAAUUAUUUACGUUCCGUCAAUUAAUCUGGUGACGUCUUCCAUAUUUCUUGUUUUUCCUCUAUUAAUAUGCGUAGCAAAAUUUAAUUUUAGGGCGAACAAUGUAACUGAUUUGAAACCUUUAUUUCUUUUAUUUGAGAUUUUUGUUCUUUUAUAUUUUAUGUGUGAAUUUUAAUUAUUUUUUAAUGCUUUGAAUUUUCUGAUCAAUUAUUCAAUGAUUUCGUGAACAAUAGUUACGUAAAGAUGCAGAUUCUUGUUUAGACCAUAAAUUAAAAUUCGGUAAAUUAAUAUAACAUGUAGAGAUACCUAUAUUGAUUGCUGCGUUCGUGUGUGAAUUCUUAGAACCAAUGUUUCGUUUAAUUAAAUUUAAUUUGCAUAGAGAUAUGGAAUUGAACUAAUUAAAUAGGUUCAACGAGAACUCGAGAGGGGUAAGUUGAAUACAAUAAAAGAAUUCGACCGAACACUAUUUUAAUUUUAUGAAUCUCGAUAUUAGAAAUAAAGGUGACCAAUAUGUGAAAUUGUUCUACUCUAAUCUCCAUUUAUUAUUUGAAUUCUCACUCAUUUUCUGUUGCAUUCACUAAAUUUUUAGUAGUUAGAUUUAAAAAUUACAGUCAAUCAAAUUUUUUUUUUAUAUUCAUCAAAUAGGAAUUAGGAAUAAUAAAUUGAGUACUAAAGUAUAGUUCUCGUGGAAACGAUAAUCCGGACUUAAAAAAUUCACUUUACUACUUGUUACGAUCUGUCCACUUGCGGGAUAAAAUCGACAACAACUAUUACCACGGUUGCUUGGCAAUGGCAUUCGACAAGUAGUUAAUUUUAUAACCGUUUGCAUGUUAAUUUGCAUAAUAUAUAAGUCUAUUCCGAUGAAUUAUAUAUUUCAUAAAUUUUAAAUGUAAUAUUAAGUAAUUGAUGAGUGAUUUACACUCAUUAUAUUAUGCCAUUAAUUUCAUAAUUUUGCUAUCUUGGAGAGUAUUUUAGAGGUGCUAACAUGUGGUUUUCACGCUACUUUGAAGGAUGGAUGAAGUGGAGAAAACAAGUGCUAAAAGAGGCCAAAUGGAAGAAAUAGGCAAAAGUUGGCGAAAUUGGAUGAAAGGACCAAAAUGUAAGAGAUUCAAAGUUCGAGGACUAAAGUGCACAUAAUCAAAAGUUGUAUCGGAACUUGCAAUGAAGAUCCGAGAGUGGUAGGAGUAAAUUGGAUGAAGGAAGGUGUCAAAAGGGAUCAAAUUUAAUCAAGAUAUGAUUAUAAAUCAUUUUCCAACCGAAAAGUUUUGCACCGAAUUUUUAGUCUCACAUUCAGACCCAUUUUCGACAUAGCAAAUGAUCGAAUUGGAGAAUGAUGCCUGAAGCAAAGUUGUAGCCCUUUGAAUUACCUUUCCAACGCAUCUUGAGUCACUUCAAUUGGAUAUCGAACGAGAAAGUUAUGCUGAAAAUACUGAAACACGCGCAGAAUGCCGUUUCAGGCGAACCGGGCGCCCAGGCGCCACAAUUCUGUAAUUCCAACAGAAACUUAGCGCCCAGGCGCCCAAAUCGCAGCGCCCAGGCGCUGCAUGCCGAGAAAGGAAAAAUGCAAUUUUUCCAAAUAUUUUCGACCCGGCCUAACUUCAAUUCGUAAUGCAAAUUAAGGGGAUUAUAAAUAUAUAAUGAGAGACCUAAGAAAGGAGGUUUUGACGGCUGAAGAAAGGAGGCAAGGAUAUACACUAAUUGAGAGAAGAAUCAUUGGAUCUUGGAGAAGGAAUCAAG
rnacentral:lncRNA from 1 species